rnacentral:rRNA from 1 species
GAGUAAUGUCUGGGAAACUGCCUGAUGGAGGGGGAUAACUACUGGAAACGGUGGCUAAUACCGCAUAACGUCGCAAGACCAAAGAGGGGGACCUUCGGGCCUCUUGCCAUCAGAUGUGCCCAGAUGGGAUUAGCUUGUUGGUGAGGUAACGGCUCACCAAGGCGACGAUCCCUAGCUGGUCUGAGAGGAUGACCAGCCACACUGGAACUGAGACACGGUCCAGACUCCUACGGGAGGCAGCAGUGGGGAAUAUUGCACAAUGGGCGCAAGCCUGAUGCAGCCAUGCCGCGUGUAUGAAGAAGGCCUUCGGGUUGUAAAGUACUUUCAGCGGG